UUAGCAUGGAAUAAUGGAAUAGGACGCGCGUUCCCAUUUUGUUGGUUUCUGAGAUCGCCGUAAUGAUUAAUAGGGACAGUUGGGGGCAUUUGUAUUCCGUCGUCAGAGGUGAAAUUCUUGGAUUGCCGGAAGACAAACUAUUGCGAAAGCAUUUGCCAAGGAUGUUUUCAUUGAUCAAGAACGAAGGAAGGGGGAUCGAAAACGAUCAGAUACCGUUGUAGUCUCUUCUGUAAACUAUGCCAAUUGGGGAUUAGAUCAGGAUUUUUAAUGACUGAUUUAGCACCCGAAGAGGAAUCUUUAAAUGAGGUUCGGGGGGGGGUAUGGUCGCAAGGCUGAAACUUAAAGGAAUUGACGGAAGGGCACCACCAGGUGUGGAGCCUGCGGCUUAAUUUGACUCAACACGGGGAAACUCACCAGGUCCAGACACAAUAAGGAUUGACAGAUUGAUAGCUCUUUCUUGAUCUUGUGGUUGGUGGUGCAUGGCCGUUCUUAGUUGGUGGAGUGAUUUGUCUGGUUAAUUCCGAUAACGAACGAGACCUUAACCUGCUAAAUAGACCAGCCGACUUUGGUUAGCUGCUGUCUUCUUAGAGGGACUAUCAGCGUUUAGCUGAUGGAAGUUUGAGGCAAUAACAGGUCUGUGAUGCCCUUAGAUGUUCUGGGCCGCACGCGCGCUACACUGACAGAGCCAGCGAGUCUACCACCUUGGCCCGGAAGGCCUGGGUAAUCUUGUGAAACUCUGUCGUGAUGGGGAUAGAACAUUGCAAUAAUGUUCGUCAACGAGAAUACCUAGUAAGCGUGAUUCAUCAGAUCGCGUUGAUACGUCCCCUGCCCUUUGUACACACCGCCGUCGCUACUACCGAUUGGAAUGCU
rnacentral:rRNA from 1 species